rnacentral:pre_miRNA from 1 species
CAUGCAGGGGUGGGGUCCCUUGGCCUGGCCUGCACCCUCUCGUAAUCCAGGACCCCUCGGGGGAUGUCAGAGAACCGGUUUCAGCCCGAUCCCUGCAGGCCAGGCCGAGGGACCCCACUGGUGCACA